rfam:Brevibacterium linens strain AE038-8 ctg29, whole genome shotgun sequence.
ACAGGUCACCAGACGGUCGCGGCUCUCAUUUCGAGGGCUGAGGAACGUCCGGGCUCCACAGAGCAUGGAUGGUGGGUAACACCCACCCGGGGCAACCCGCGGGCCAGUGCAACAGAAAGCAGACCGCCCAGUUCCGACUGGGUAAGGGUGAAACGGUGGUGUAAGAGACCACCAGGGCGGCGGGUGACCGUCGCUGCUGGGUAAACCCCAUCCGGAGCAAGAUCAGACAGACGACGUUCGAGGCUGCUCGCCGAGUCGUCGGGUGGAUUGCUUGAGGCCGGUGGCAACAUCGGUCCCAGAUAGAUGACCGUCAGGCGAGAAGGGCGACCGACUCGUCGACAGAACCCGGCUUAUCGGUGGCCUGUCCUC